GACGAACGCUGGCGGCGUGCCUAAUACAUGCAAGUAGAACGCUGAAGAGAGGAGCUUGCUCUUCUUGGAUGAGUUGCGAACGGGUGAGUAACGCGUAGGUAACCUGCCUUGUAGCGGGGGAUAACUAUUGGAAACGAUAGCUAAUACCGCAUAACAAUGGAUGACACAUGUCAUUUAUUUGAAAGGGGCAAUUGCUCCACUACAAGAUGGACCUGCGUUGUAUUAGCUAGUAGGUGAGGUAACGGCUCACCUAGGCGACGAUACAUAGCCGACCUGAGAGGGUGGUCGGCCACACCGGGACUGGGACACGGCCCAGACUCCUACGGGAGGCAGCAGUAGGGGAUCUUCGGCAAUGGGGGCAACCCUGACCGAGCAACGCCGCGUGAGUGAAGAAGGUUUUCGGAUCGUAAAGCUCUGUUGUAAGUCAAGAACGAGUGUGAGAGUGGAAAGUUCACACUGUGACGGUAGCUUACCAGAAAGGGACGGCUAACUACGUG
rnacentral:rRNA from 1 species